rnacentral:rRNA from 1 species
UGGGACGAUAAGACCCUAUAAAGCUUUACAAAAUUGGGAUUUUUUUUUGAAUUAAGGUUUAAAUUCUAUAAGUUCUUAUUUGUUUUGUUGGGGCGGCAAAGAUAAAAAUUAGUAACUGUCAUUUAAUUAGAAUAAUUAUAAUUAGUUUAAUUGAUCCUUUAUUAGAGAUUAAAAGAUUAAGUUACUUUAGGGAUAACAGCGUAAUUUUCCCUGAGAGUUCUUAUCGACGGGAGUGCUUGCGACCUCGAUGUUGAAU